GGACCCGCACAAGCGGUGGAGCAUGUGGUUUAAUUCGAAGCAACGCGAAGAACCUUACCAAAUCUUGACAUCCUCUGACCCCUCUAGAGAUAGAGUUUUCCCCUUCGGGGGACAGAGUGACAGGUGGUGCAUGGUUGUCGUCAGCUCGUGUCGUGAGAUGUUGGGUUAAGUCCCGCAACGAGCGCAACCCUUAAGCUUAGUUGCCAUCAUUAAGUUGGGCACUCUAAGUUGACUGCCGGUGACAAACCGGAGGAAGGUGGGG
rnacentral:rRNA from 1 species